CAUGACCACGCAAGACAGACAGAGGAUGGUGGUUGAACCAAUUUGCAAGUAUCCUACCAAUAUGCAUGUUAUUUUUCCAUGUAUAAAGUGGUGUCAACUGAGGGGACUAUGUGUCAUGAAGCCAUUAGAAGGCUGUUGCUGACUGAGAGGAGUCUUGCAGUAGGCUAACCCAAAACUAUAAAAGGAUCUCUCUUUCGGCUGCUGCUGAUGACAACUGCAUUCAGGCGACAACCCAUACUGUACUGGCCCAGCG